rnacentral:rRNA from 1 species
UACGUAGGCAGCGAGCGUUGUUCGGAGUUACUGGGCGUAAAGCGUGCGUAGGCGGUUUUCUAAGUUUGGUGUGAAAUCUCCCGGCUCAACUGGGAGGGUGCGCCGAAGACUGGGAGACUGGAGUGUGGGAGAGGUAGGCGGAAUUCCUGGUGUAGCGGUGAAAUGCGUAGAUAUCAGGAGGAACACCUGUGGUGUAGACGGCUUACUGGACCAUGACUGACGCUGAGGCACGAAAGCCAGGGGAGCAAACAGG